GUGAAGAUGCCGAUUACCCGCAAUGGGACGAAAAGACCCUGUGAACCUUUACUAUAACUUCGUAUUGACUUUGAGUAAACAAUGUGUAGGAUAGGUGGGAGGCUGAGAAGCUGGCACGCUAGUGUUGGUGGAGCCGUUGUUGAAAUACCACCCUUUGUUUACUUAGAGCCUAACUCGGAAACGAGGACAUUGCGUGGUGGGUAGUUUGACUGGGGCGGUCUCCUCCUAAAGAGUAACGGAGGAGCACGAAGGUUGGCUAAUCCUGGUCGGACAUCAGGAGGUUAGUGCAAUGGCAUAAGCCAGCUUGACUGCGAGCGUGACGGCGCGAGCAGGUGCGAAAGCAGGUCUUAGUGAUCCGGUGGUUCUGAAUGGAAGGGCCAUCGCUCAACGGAUAAAAGGUACUCCGGGGAUAACAGGCUGAUACCGCCCAAGAGUUCAUAUCGACGGCGGUGUUUGGCACCUCGAUGUCGGCUCAUCACAUCCUGGGGCUGAAGUAGGUCCCAAGGGUAUGGCUGUUCGCCAUUUAAAGUGGUACGCGAGCUGGGUUUAGAACGUCGUGAGACAGUUCGGUCCCUAUCUGCCGUGGGCGCUGGAGAACUGAGGGGGGCUGCUCCUAGUACGAGAGGACCGGAGUGGACGCAUCACUGGUGUUCGGGUUGUCAUGCCAAUGGCACUGCCCGGUAGCUAAAUGCGGAAGAGAUAAGUGCUGAAAGCAUCUAAGCACGAAACUUGCCCCGAGAUGAGUUCUCC
rnacentral:rRNA from 1 species